rnacentral:misc_RNA from 1 species
GAUGAAGAACGUAGCGAAAUGCGAUAAGUAAUGUGAAUUGCAGAAUCCAGUGAAUCAUCGAAUCUUUGAACGCACAUUGCGCCCGCGAGUAUUCUCGCGGGCAUGCCUGUCCGAGCGUCAUUUCAACCCUCAGGGCCCGCCUGCUUCGGCAGGCGCGGCGCUGGUGUUGGGGAUCGGCCUAACCGCCGUCCCCCAAAUACAGUGGCGGUCUCGCUGCAGCCUCCCCUGCGUAGUAGCAACACUCGCAUGCGGAGCGCGGCGCGGCCACGCCGUAAAACCCCCGACUUUCUGAACGUUGACCUCGGAUCAGGUAGGAAUACCCGCUGAACUUAAGCAUAUCAAUAAGCGGAGGA